GUUAACGUUGCUAACCCAUCAUAGUAACAUGCAGGCUGUUCAGCGAGGCCUUGCCUGUAGUGGCUCUGUUCUUUCCUGUAAAGUCUGCUAGAGAAACCUGAGGUGGUUUGAGGCCCUGCUGUGUCUCCUCCAUAGCAAGGUUAUAGAAACCUCAGACAGUUCAUCUAUUUUAGGCCAACAUAAUGCUGAGAUUCAGAUGGUAAUGUGAAAAUGUAUGUUUUGGUUGAUGUGCAUUUGUAUUUGGUGCCCUGAAGUAUUUAUUAAUCUAAACAAAAAUGUGCUUUUUGUAGGUGGCUGAACUCCUUGGUGGACGUCUGUGAUUGCAGCUCAUCUCCACCAGGCUCUAAAAAACCUUGGCAUGUGCACUACCAGGAUACAGAAUCAUUAUCCUGUGACCACUGAAGGGCAGGCAAGACAUGAAGUAGACACAGUAGUGGAGUGGAACAGAUGGCUGAAUUCCUAGGAGGACAUGCACAUCAACAGGGUGCAAAAUGAAUGUCUACAGCAGCUGAAUUCCAAAGAAGACAUGAAGAUGCCACACCAGGAUGGGAUUCAAUAAACAAAAACGUGGCUGAACUCCUUGGUGGACGUCUGUGAUUGCAGCUCAUCUCCACCAGGCUCUAAAAAACCUUGGCAUGUGCACUACCAGGAUACAGAAUCAUUAUCCUGUGACCACUGAAGGGCAGGCAAGACAUGAAGUAGACACAGUAGUGGAGUGGAACAGAUCACUGAAUUCCAAGGAGGACAUGCACAGCAGCAGGGUGCAAAAUGAAUGUCAACAGCUGCUGAAUUCCAAAGAAGACAUGAAGGAGACACACUAGUGGAGUGGAACAGGUGACUGCAAGAACAGCUUAAGUGUUUGUUGCAUACAAAUAUGAUCCUGUUGGUUUGCUGCAGGCUGUUCAGCGAGGCCUUGCCUGUAGUGGCUCUGUUCUUUCCUGUAAAGUCUGCUAGAGAAACCUGAGGUGGUUUGAGGCCCUGCUUUGUCUCCUCCAUGGCAAGGUUAUAGAAACCUCAGACAGUUCAUCUAUUUUAGGCCGCCCUAAUGCUGAGAUUCAGAUGGUAAUGUGAAAAUGUAUGUUUUGGUUGAUGUGCAUUUAGUAUGCAAUAAUUUAGUAUUUAUUAAUCUAAAUGAAAAUGCCCUUUUUUUUGUAGGUGGCUGAAAUCCUAGGUGGACCUCUGUGAUUGCAGCAUAUAUCUCCACCAGGCUGAUAAAAACCUUGGCAUGUGCACUACCAGGAUUCAGAAACAUUAUCCUGUGACCACUGAAGGGCAGGCAAGACAUGAAGUAGACACAGUAGUGGAGUGGAACAGGUGACUGCAAGAACAACUGAAGUGUCUGUUGCAUACAAAUAUGAUCCUGUUGGUUUGCUGCAGGCUGUUCAGCGAGGCCUUGCCUGUAGUGGCUCUGUUCUUUCCUGUAAAGUCUGCUAGAGAAACCUGAGGUGGUUUGAGGCCCUGUUGUGUCUCCUCCAUGGCAAGGUUAUAGAAACCUCAGACAACUGAUUUGACCAUUUACCCUCUCGAUCAAAUGAAUGGCUGAAACAUUUAUAGAUUGUUUUCUGAUUCAGAUUCAUUCUUAUAGAAUACAACUUGGAUCAUGAUCACAUUGAUAAACAGAUCGAAAUUAAAGAGCUGUGUUUUGAAGCGCCUUAUAAUAUUUAAACUAAUUAAUAUAAAAAUGUGAACAAGAUGACUUAGUCAUUACAUAUAGUGUUUUCCUGACUGGCACCAUAGGGUUACAGCUUGCACCUCAAGGAAGAGUGAAUGUCUAAUGGCUCUGGCUAAUGUUCCAGUACUGGAGGUGGACAUUAAAGAUGAAUAACACAAAUUUGUUUUCUUCUCAGGUGUGUCUUGUGAUGUCCUGGAUUGAGGAGUUUAGUCAAUUGUGUGUGUGACCUAUAAAUACAUAUUUUGCAAUACAAUAAAGAACUUUUCAAGAAGUGUUGUGUGUUCUAG
rnacentral:lncRNA from 1 species